rnacentral:lncRNA from 1 species
UUCAAAUCAAAGGGCAUAAUUAAAAAGAAAAAGAAAAAGAUAUACUGCAUUUAAAAUAUUAAUAUAUUGUAAAAUGUGUUUGUCUGUAGGACUGACACGUGUCCAAUUCAACCACUCUCUUCCUUUUCAUUUCUUCCUUCAAAAACUAUCCCUCCAAUGAAUUUCAAUUUCUUUCCUAUUACAACUACAAAUUAUUCCAAUUUUCUAUAUAAAUCUACGAAUUGAACUGCAACUUAUCUCAUUUUUCACUCGCUCUUCACAAAUUUAAAACGCCCUUUUCCUAUUCCCCAAUUUUAUUCACUGUUUUCUUGAAAGAAUUGUGGUCUAAAUUCGGAUAUAGAUCUAUCUUUUUGGUUGUUGCUCACCAAUCCUUUCUCGUAAACAAUUUUCAUUUUUUUCACCUGGGUUUUCAAAUUCACACAUAAUACAUGGAGAUUUCAGUGAUUGGAAACUCGCAGGUGAAUUUCGGAAAAAUUAAUGUUGGGUUCUGUAGUUUUAGCAAGAACCUGAAUCGUAAGAUCUAUAAUUCAAAAAAUUAUCCAAAAACUUCCAAUUUUUGUCAAGGUCAAAACAUGGUAUGGCAUGCGAAAUCUUCCUCUGGUGUCACCCUUAAAGCCUCCAAUAUUCGAGCUGAAGCUGCUCUAACUUCUGAGAAAGCUUCAAAAAUUACAAGAACAAGACCCGUAAGUUUUCCUUUUUCUUCCUAUUUCUUUUUAUUUUUUAUGUUCUGUUUGGGUUCUGUUCAUUAUUGAUUAAUUUUUUUGGUGUUAUGCAACGCGAGUAAUAUAGGAUUAAAUUAUUGUGUGUUGUUCGAUCAUUGUUAGAGAUAAUAUAUUUGUUUUUGUUGGAUGUCAUAUAAGAGGUUCUAGGAGCAUGUUAGCCUGGCUCUAAAGAACGAUUUUUUUGGCUUUAGGGAAGUAUUUAUGUGCAUAUUGCAUUGCAUACUCCCCAGUGGUGCUCUAAAUUAGAUCUAAAUAUUGUUUUAGACCUCCAAAGUGGCCAGAAAACUCUCCGAUAGAGAGAUAUAAAUGAAAUGAAAAUUGUAUUUUCCGACAGCAAAUUCACAAAAAA